rnacentral:misc_RNA from 1 species
UUUCCGUAGGUGAACCUGCGGAAGGAUCAUUACAAAUCGGAGGUUGAUGGGGGUGAUAGAUUAUCGUCAUUCAUCAAACCACCACAUUUGCACAGAGCUCUGCUCUGAUGUACACGCUUGUUUGUUUGACAAAAUAAAAUAUUCUUUAAUGUUGACAACUUUUAACAAUGGAUCUCUUGGCUCUU